GACGAACGCUGGCGGCGUGCUUAACACAUGCAAGUCGAACGGAAAGGCCCUGCUUGCAGGGUGCUCGAGUGGCGAACGGGUGAGUAACACGUGGGUGAUCUGUCCCUUACUUUGGGAUAAGCCUGGGAAACUGGGUCUAAUACUGGAUAGGACCAUGCUGUAGGUGGUGUGGUGGAAAGAUUAGUUUCGGUAAGGGAUGAGCUCGCGGCCUAUCAGCUUGUUGGUGGGGUAAUGGCCUACCAAGGCGUCGACGGGUAGCCGGCCUGAGAGGGUGGACGGCCACAUUGGGACUGAGAUACGGCCCAGACUCCUACGGGAGGCAGCAGUGGGGAAUAUUGCACAAUGGGCGCAAGCCUGAUGCAGCGACGCCGCGUGGGGGAUGACGGCCUUCGGGUUGUAAACUCCUUUCAGCCAUGACGAAGCCCUUGUGGUGACGGUAGUGGUAGAAGAAGCACCGGCUAACUACGUG
rnacentral:rRNA from 1 species